AGGAUAUUAAAAUUUUAAUGUGAUUAUAAGUUGAAUGAAAGACUAAUAUAUCCAAGAAGCAAGAUUUAUAGAUGUUUUGUGUUGAAGACUUGAGUGUGUUGGUAUUUGUUAUUUUGGAGUUCAGGGUUAUGCUUUACAAUGUUGGGUAUAUGACUUUACAGAGGUAUGCGUCUGUAAAUGAUGGAGGAGACUGUGAUAUAAAUUGGAACUAGGAAAUGACUCCAAACACCUGGUAUGUCAUCAUAGAUUGUCUGUGAACUUAGUCUGUCCACAGGAUUAAAGGUCAACACAGUCGCAGCUUAAUACUGGGAUUAAUUUUGUUUUCAAACACUAAAUAACACUCCCUUUUCCCAAGGAAUUAAUCAAUACAAUGAAGGGAUGUGAUUAAGACACAGUGGGAACCUUAUAUUUUAAUUAUUUCAGGCAAAUCUUUUUAAAUACUUUUAAU